rnacentral:lncRNA from 1 species
GAGAAAGACAGCUAAGACGCAGACACCACAGUACAUCAACAUUGGGAGGGGAGAUCAAGGAGGCCUUCUUGGAGGAGUUAAUGCCCGAGAUGUGAGCCAUUAAAGGAAAAGCAAAAGUGAGCACCCGAGAUGCCCUGCAGAAGGAAAAGUGAGCAGGGAGAAGUCCAAAAGUGAGCAACUCAAGUCCAGUGCCUGGAGAGAGAUCCAGAUGUAGGGCUCUCAGCUACCCCUCCAGCUCCAUGUCUG